UACGUAGGGUGCGAGCGUUGUCCGGAAUUAUUGGGCGUAAAGAGCUCGUAGGCGGCCCGGUAAGUCCGUUGUGAAAGUCAAAGGCUCAACCUUUGAACGCCGAUGGAUACUGCCGGGCUAGAGUCCGGAAGAGGCGAGUGGAAUUCCUGGUGUAGCGGUGGAAUGCGCAGAUAUCAGGAGGAACACCAAUAGCGAAGGCAGCUCGCUGGGACGGUACUGACGCUGAGGCGCGAAAGCGUGGGGAGCGAACAGG
rnacentral:rRNA from 1 species